rnacentral:lncRNA from 1 species
AUUUUCUUUGUAUGGAGUAGGAAACAUUGGAUUCUUACAGUUGUUGAUCCUCACAAAGAAAUAAUAUAUAAUUUGGACCCGAUUAGUCAUCAGCACAUUGAUGAUAGUUGGAAAACUAUUGUCAACACGUAAGAUUUAAAUAUUUUUCGUGAUGCGUUACAUGAAAGAAAUUAUUGAAGAGCUUAUGAGGAAUGGUCGCAUUUGCCUACAUCCACAUGUAAGUAAUUUGACUUAAAUCUCCAUUAUACAUAUUUCAUAUUAAACAAUAGUUUAUCUUUUAUAUAGUUUGACAAUCGGAGUUAUACUAAAGAGGAUAUUGAUGAAGUUCGUGUUGAGUGGACGAAUCUCAUUCUUAGUUACAUAUAAAAAGUAGAGG